ACCUUACUACUUGGAUAACCGUGGUAAUUCUAGAGCUAAUACAUGCUAAAAAUCCCGACUUCGGAAGGGAUGUAUUUAUUAGAUUAAAAACCAAUGCCCUUCGGGCUCACUGGUGAUUCAUGAUAACUUCUCGAAUCGCAUGGCCUUGCGCCGGCGAUGGUUCAUUCAAAUUUCUGCCCUAUCAACUUUCGACGGCUGGGUCUUGGCCAGCCAUGGUGACAACGGGUAACGGAGGGUUAGGGCUCGACCCCGGAGAAGGAGCCUGAGAAACGGCUACUACAUCCAAGGAAGGCAGCAGGCGCGCAAAUUACCCAAUCCCGACACGGGGAGGUAGUGACAAUACAUACUGAUACAGGGCUCUUUUGGGUCUUGUAAUUGGAAUGAGUACAAUUUAAAUCCCUUAACGAGGAACAAUUGGAGGGCAAGUCUGGUGCCAGCAGCCGCGGUAAUUCCAGCUCCAAUAGCGUAUAUUAAAGUUGUUGCGGUUAAAAAGCUCGUAGUUGAACCUUGGGCCUGGCUGGCCGGUCCGCCUCACCGCGUGCACUGGUACGGUCGGGCCUUUCCCUCUGGGGAACCGCAUGCCCUUCACUGGGUGUGUCGGGGAACCAGGACUUUUACUUUGAAAAAAUUAGAGUGUUCAAAGCAGGCUUAUGCUCGGAUACAUUAGCAUGGAAUAAUAGAAUAGGACGUGCGGUUCUAUUUUGUUGGUUUCUAGGACCGCCGUAAUGAUUAAUAGGGACAGUCGGGGGCAUCAGUAUUCAAUUGUCAGAGGUGAAAUUCUUGGAUUUAUUGAAGACUAACUACUGCGAAAGCAUUUGCCAAGGAUGUUUUCAUUAAUCAGGAACGAAAGUUAGGGGAUCGAAGACGAUCAGAUACCGUCGUAGUCUUAACCAUAAACUAUGCGAACUAGGGAUCGGACGAUGUUAUUAUUUGACUCGUUCGGCACCUUACACGAAAGUACAAGUUUCUG
rnacentral:rRNA from 1 species